UGGAGGAAAACUAAUUAGUACCUGUUCCUAUCUAUCUCUCUCAAAAUUUCUGUUCUUAUCAAGCAUUUAAAAGCUUUUUACGUUUCCUCUCGAGAUAUAUUGUUCUUACCAAUUAAUGUGUAAACAUCAAUUGUUCUUUGUACAUUUUUCAUCAAGCACAUUAGAGCGGACUUUACAAUGUACACAAAAAUACUGUUUCUGUAUCAUUAAAUUCUUUCCUAAUUUACAAGCUUUUGAACAGAAUGUAGUAGAAAAUGUUUGAGUCGUGUAUGAAAGAUCUGUGUUACUUGACAUCUCCAUAUAAUAUGUGCAUAAAUGGUUGACUCCAAGUUAAAGUAUGGAUAAACACAAAAGUCACUGAAAUAUAAUUUACAUAUGGGAAUAAAUCUGUCCAUGUUUGGUGGAAUUCUGUCAAGUCCAUUUUAACCCAGUUACUGAUUUACAUUGUACAUAAAGAGUAAGGCAGCAUCACAUAGAACAGAAGUGAUCCUUUUUGUGUUUGUACUUAUGCUGUCCCCUAAACAUAAAGUGUGACUUGAAAACUGCAGAUGACAAAAUAUAUCAUUGUGUGUAGCCAUUUACAG
rnacentral:lncRNA from 1 species